rnacentral:tRNA from 1 species
AGUAAAUUGGCUGAAUUAUAGGUGAUAAAUUGUAAAUUUAUUUAUAAGAAUUAUUUCUUAUUUACUA